UACAGGGGGGGCAAGCGUUGUUCGGAAUUACUGGGCGUAAAGGGCUCGUAGGGGGCCAACUAAGUCGGACGUGAAAUCCCUCAGCUUAACUGGGGAACUGCGUCCGAUACUGGAUGGCUUGAGUUUGGGAGAGGGAUGCGGAAUUCCAGGUGUAGCGGUGAAAUGCGUAGAUAUCUGGAGGAACACCGGUGGCGAAGGCGGCAUCCUGGACCAACACUGACACUGAGGAGCGAAAGCCAGGGGAGCAAACGGG
rnacentral:rRNA from 1 species